rnacentral:rRNA from 1 species
CGGACGGGAAGUAACGCGUAAGAAUCUACCUUCAGGUUGGGGACAACCACUGGAAACGGUGGCUAAUACCGAAUGUGCCGAGAGGUGAAAGGCUUGCUGCCUGUAGAUGAGCUUGCGUCCGAUUAGCUAGAUGGUGGGGUAACGGCCUACCAUGGCGACGAUCGGUAGCUGGUCUGAGAGGAUGACCAGUCACACUGGAACUGAGACACGGUCCAGACUCCUACGGGAGGCAGCAGUGGGGAAUUUUCCGCAAUGGGCGAAAGCCUGACGGAGCAAUACCGCGUGAGGGAGGAAGGCUCUUGGGUUGUAAACCUCUUUUCUCAGGGAAGAAGACAAUGACGGUACCUGAGGAAUAAGCAUCGGCUAACUCCGUGCCAGCAGCCGCGGUAAUACGGAGGAGGCAAGCGUUAUCCGGAAUUAUUGGGCGUAAAGCGUCCGUAGGUGGUUAAUCAAGUCAGCUGUUAAAGAGCGGAGCUUAACUCCGUUAGAGCGGUUGAAACUGAUUGACUAGAGUUUGGUAGGGGUCGAGGGAAUUCCCAGUGUAGCGGUGAAAUGCGUAGAUAUUGGGAAGAACACCGGUGGCGAAAGCGCUCGACUGGGCCUGAACUGACACUGAGGGACGAAAGCUAGGGGAGCGAAAGGGAUUAGAUACCCCUGUAGUC